CCUACGGGUGGCAGCAGUGAGGAAUAUUGGUCAAUGGACGAGAGUCUGAACCAGCCAAGUAGCGUGAAGGAUGACUGCCCUAUGGGUUGUAAACUUCUUUUAUAUGGGAAUAAAAUGUUCCACGUGUGGGACUUUGUAUGUACCAUAUGAAUAAGGAUCGGCUAACUCCGUUCCAGCAGCCGCGGUAAUACGGAGGAUCCGAGCGUUAUCCGGAUUUAAUGGGUUUAAAGGGAGCGUAGGGGGAUUGUUAAGUCAGUUGUGAAAGUUUGCGGCUCAACCGUAAAAUUGCAGUUGAAACUGGCAGUCGUGAGUGCAGUAGAGGUGAGCGGAAUUCGUGGUGUAGCGGUGAAAUGCUUAGAUAUCACGAAGAACUCCGAUUGUGAAGGCAGCUCACUGGACUGCAACUGACACUGAGGAGCGAAAGUGUGGGUAUCAAACAGGAUUAGAUACCCUAGUAGUC
rnacentral:rRNA from 1 species